GACGAACACUGUCGGCGUGCUUAACACAUGCAAGUCGAACGGAAAGGCCCUGCUUUUGUGGGGUGCUCGAGUGGCGAACGGGUGAGUAACACGUGAGUAACCUGCCCUUGACUUUGGGAUAACUUCAGGAAACUGGGGCUAAUACCGGAUAGGAGCUCCUGCUGCAUGGUGGGGGUUGGAAAGUUUCGGCGGUUGGGGAUGGACUCGCGGCUUAUCAGCUUGUUGGUGGGGUAGUGGCUUACCAAGGCUUUGACGGGUAGCCGGCCUGAGAGGGUGACCGGCCACAUUGGGACUGAGAUACGGCCCAGACUCCUACGGGAGGCAGCAGUGGGGAAUAUUGCACAAUGGGCGGAAGCCUGAUGCAGCAACGCCGCGUGCGGGAUGACGGCCUUCGGGUUGUAAACCGCUUUCGCCUGUGACGAAGCGUGAGUGACGGUAAUGGGUAAAGAAGCACCGGCUAACUACGUGCCAGCAGCCGCGGUGAUACGUAGGGUGCGAGCGUUGUCCGGAUUUAUUGGGCGUAAAGGGCUCGUAGGUGGUUGAUCGCGUCGGAAGUGUAAUCUUGGGGCUUAACCCUGAGCGUGCUUUCGAUACGGGUUGACUUGAGGAAGGUAGGGGAGAAUGGAAUUCCUGGUGGAGCGGUGGAAUGCGCAGAUAUCAGGAGGAACACCAGUGGCGAAGGCGGUUCUCUGGGCCUUUCCUGACGCUGAGGAGCGAAAGCGUGGGGAGCGAACAGGCUUAGAUACCCUGGUAGUCCACGCUGUAAACGGUGGGUACUAGGUGUGGGGUCCAUUCCACGGGUUCCGUGCCGUAGCUAACGCUUUAAGUACCCCGCCUGGGGAGUACGGCCGCAAGGCUAAAACUCAAAGGAAUUGACGGGGCCCCGCACAAGCGGCGGAGCAUGCGGAUUAAUUCGAUGCAACGCGUAGAACCUUACCUGGGUUUGACAUGGAUCGGGAGUGCUCAGAGAUGGGUGUGCCUCUUUUGGGGUCGGUUCACAGGUGGUGCAUGGCUGUCGUCAGCUCGUGUCGUGAGAUGUUGGGUUAAGUCCCGCAACGAGCGCAACCCUUGUUCACUGUUGCCAGCACGUUAUGGUGGGGACUCAGUGGAGACCGCCGGGGUCAACUCGGAGGAAGGUGGGGAUGACGUCAAGUCAUCAUGCCCCUUAUGUCCAGGGCUUCACGCAUGCUACAAUGGCUGGUACAGAGAGUGGCGAGCCUGUGAGGGUGAGCGAAUCUCGGAAAGCCGGUCUCAGUUCGGAUUGGGGUCUGCAACUCGACCUCGUGAAGUCGGAGUCGCUAGUAAUCGCAGAUCAGCAACGCUGCGGUGAAUACGUUCCCGGG
rnacentral:rRNA from 1 species